AUUGAACGCUGGCGGCAUGCCUUACACAUGCAAGUCGAACGGUAACAGGUCUUCGGAUGCUGACGAGUGGCGAACGGGUGAGUAAUACAUCGGAACGUGCCUAGUAGUGGGGGAUAACUACUCGAAAGAGUGGCUAAUACCGCAUGAGAUCUACGGAUGAAAGCAGGGGAUCGCAAGACCUUGUGCUACUAGAGCGGCCGAUGGCAGAUUAGGUAGUUGGUGGGAUAAAAGCUUACCAAGCCGACGAUCUGUAGCUGGUCUGAGAGGACGAUCAGCCACACUGGGACUGAGACACGGCCCAGACUCCUACGGGAGGCAGCAGUGGGGAAUUUUGGACAAUGGGCGCAAGCCUGAUCCAGCAAUGCCGCGUGCAGGAUGAAGGCCUUCGGGUUGUAAACUGCUUUUGUACGGAACGAAAAGCCCUGGGUUAAUACCCUGGGGUCAUGACGGUACCGUAAAAAUAAGCAC
rnacentral:rRNA from 1 species